UGAGGAAAUGGCCAGCAAUUAGAGAAGCAAGUUUGUCGGCGAGUUUUGUGGAAAACAAAGCAGUCAUCCCAGUAGAACGAAAAAUAAGAUAAAUCACCAUGGUUCGCAUCGAGAGUCCCCCUGAUGUCAACCACCAACAUGUUGGAUAAACAAAUACUCAUCAUGUUGUUGGAACCCCAGACAGAUGGCGCCUGUGAAACUAAAGGUUUCGCUGGAUGAAGGAGAGCAGUCGGGCUUCAUUAGCAGAAGGCGCACUGGAAGAAGAGAAAGAGGUGGAAAGUUCAGCAGAAAAAAAAUACGUACAGGGUUCACCAGCUAUAAGGAAGGUUCAAGUUUCAUGGAAGGAAAUGAAGGAAUCUAAAAAGUCCAGACGAUGUGUGUUACGGCGCGUGGCCAUCGCAUCUUUAGGUGAUGUAUUGGAUUCAAUCGUUGAAUGGUGUUCUUCUGUACAUUUUUCAUGCUGUGUGGAAGCAUGUUGGAAGUGAAAGUUGAGUCUACAGAUUGUUUGAGAACAAGCAGCUUCACCUCUGGCCAUUCAUAUGAAACAGCAACUUAGAAAAAAGGUCAAGUUUGGUGGAGUCUCAUCAAAUCCAGACAGAGCACAGCGUAACCCCUUCAAGUAUUGCCACCUACAGGACUGGAGUGCAACUGUACCUACAGUAUACUCAGUUUACCUCAUUAAAUACUGCAAAAGUCAUGUGACAGUAACAUUACUGAUUCUGGACUAUUUUAACGGGCGUAUAAUAUGGAAAAUGUCAUUACUUGUAAUCAAAUAAGUGUACAGAAAUAACGUGUGCUUGUAAUUCUCGACCCUUCUCCAAUUGGUCAAAGCAUGUCAUAUUAAGAGACCUGGGGACAGUUUAAAAGUGUGAAAAGUACAUUCAUGAUACCUCUUUUUGAA